UCGAGCGAGAACCCUGCUUCGGCGGGGGAGUACAGCGGCGAACGGGUGAGUAACACGUGAGUAACCUGCCCCCGGGUCCGGAAUAGCCCCGGGAAACCGGGAUUAAUACCGGAUGCGGCGCGGCGUGCGCCUGCACGCCGCGGCAAAGGUUUAUCCGCCCGGGGAGGGGCUCGCGCCCCAUUAGCUUGUCGGCGGGGUAACGGCCCGCCGAGGCGAAGAUGGGUAGCUGGUCUGAGAGGAUGAUCAGCCACACUGGGACUGAGACACUGCCCAGACUCCUACGGGAGGCUGCAGUCGAGAAUCUUCGGCAAUGGGCGCAAGCCUGACCGAGCGAUGCCGCGUGAGGGAAGAAGGCCUUCGGGUCGUAAACCUCUGUCAGGAGGGACGAAAUCUGACGGUACCUCCAGAGGAAGCCACGGCUAACUACGUGCCAGCAGCCGCGGUAACACGUAGGUGGCGAGCGUUAUUCGGAAUCACUGGGCGUAAAGGGUCCGCAGGGGGUCUGCCAAGUCCGGUGUGAAAGCCCGCGGCUCAACCGCGGAAGUGCACUGGAAACUGGUGGACUGGAGUACAGGAGAGGAAAGCGGAAUUCCCGGUGUAGCGGUGGAAUGCGUAGAUAU
rnacentral:rRNA from 1 species